rnacentral:snRNA from 1 species
GAUUUUUGAACUUGGAGUAUGGUGCUGUUAGCUUGCUCCACCCUGCUCACGGGUUGUCCUGGUAUUGCAGUACCUCCAGGUUCGGCUCACGUUUC